ACGGCUCAGUAACACGUAGUUAAUCUGCCCUUAGGACGAGAAUAACCCUGGGAAACUGGGGCUAAUUCGCGAUAGAUGAAAGCGCCUGGAAUGGUCUUCCAUCUAAAAGCUCUCGGAAGCACGCUUCCGAUGGCGCCUAAGGAUGAGACUGCGGCCGAUCAGGCAGUUGGUAGGGUAACGGCCUACCAAACCUAUAACCGGUACGGGCCCUGAAAGGGGAAGCCCGGAGAUGGGAACUGAGACAAGGUCCCAGGCCCUACGGGGCGCAGCAGGCGCGAAAACUUCGCAAUGCGCGAAAGCGUGACGAGGUUAACCCGAGUGCCGUCCGAUGAGGAUGGCUUUUCCUCAGUGUAAGGAGCUGGGGGAAUAAAGGGGGGGCAAGUCCGGUGUCAGCCGCCGCGGUAAUACCAGCCCCCUGAGUGAUAGGGACGAUUAUUUAGCCUAAAGCGUCCGUAGCCGGUUUAGUAAGUCUUUCGUUAAAUCUGACGACUUAAUCGCCAGACCGCGGGAGAUACUGCUAGGCUAGAGGGCGGGAGAGGUUGACGGUAGUCCCGGAGUAGGGGUGAAAUCCUAUAAUCCCGGGAGGACCACCAGUGGCGAAGGCGGUCGACUAGAACGCGCCUGACGGUGAUGGACGAAAGCUGGGGGAGCAAACCGGAUUAGACACCCGGGUAGUCCCAGCUGUAAACGAUGCGGGCUAGGUGUUGGUGCAGCUACGGGCUGCUUCAGUGCCGCAGAGAAGUCGUUAAGCCCGCCGCUUGGGAAGUACGGCCGCAAGGCUGAAACUUAAAGGAAUUGGCGGGGGAGCAC
rnacentral:rRNA from 1 species